CGUUCCCGGAGCUUGUACACACCGCCCGUCACAGCACGAAAGUUGGGAGUGCCCGACGUGCCUAUUUAACUAGGCCCUAAGGCAAGCUCAGUAAUUGGGCUG
rnacentral:rRNA from 1 species